rnacentral:rRNA from 1 species
UGGGGAAUUUUGGACAAUGGGGGCAACCCUGAUCCAGCCAUGCCGCGUGAGUGAAGAAGGCCUUCGGGUUGUAAAGCUCUUUCGGCGGGGACGAAACGGUCCGUGACAACACCACGGACUAAUGACAGUACUCGCAGAAGAAGCACCGGCUAACUACGUGCCAGCAGCCGCGGUAAUACGUAGGGUGCAGGCGUUAAUCGGAAUUACUGGGCGUAAAGCGUGCACAGGCGGCUCCUUAAGUCAGAUGUGAAAUCCCCGGGCUUAACCUGGGAACUGCGUUUGAAACUGAGGGGCUAGAGUGUGGAAGAGGGGGGUGGAAUUCCAGGUGUAGCAGUGAAAUGCGUAGAGAUCUGGAGGAACACCGAUGGCGAAGGCAGCCCCCUGGGCUAACACUGACGCUCAUGCACGAAAGCGUGGGGAGCAAACAGGAUUAGAUACCCCCGUAGUCCCUGAGCGGGCUGGCAAGGCGCAU